rnacentral:piRNA from 1 species
UGUCACGAAUUCAUUAAAUGA